GGGGAGUUGAGAAGACAGGCAACUGAUUGAAAAAAUACCAACUUCAAUUUGAAAUUUGUGUCUUCCAAAGAAUAGAAAGAAGCUCUUUUGGAGAUGUUGAGAGCCAGUGGUCUAAGGCGAAGUAGUCUGUAACUUCCACCUCUCAAAGCUAACUGGAGCAGAAAGCCUGAAGGGGAAACAGUGCCAAAAAUCUCUGGAAAGUUCUUGAUAGCCUUCAUAGAACCAGGAUUGCUGCACAGCCUGCUGGGGAGGAAAAUCAUCUACAAUUUUGCCCAGCUCUGAGUCCUUGG